rnacentral:tRNA from 13 species
GCCUCCGUAUCGCAAUCGGCCAGAGCGUUCGGCUGUUAACCGAAAGGUUGGUGGUUCGAGCCCACCUGGGGGCG